AUACACGGUACGUCGCUUUUACAUCACACCGAGGUGGAUCAAAGAAAUCAACUUCCAUAACGCGGUCGUGUAUUAAAAGGCAAAAAUAAAAAUUCUUUUUUCCGAUUCGUCAUAAUAGUUCCCCAAUAGUGUAUUAUAUUGAUCACCUUGCAUUCGCAUGGCGCACAUUGUAUGCACUUCGAAAACCUGCAAGCAAUUUUUAUACAAAAACAUAGUUUCCGAUUAUCUAACGAGAAUCAUUAUUUUGGUUUUUUUUUUUUUUUACGUUUAAUAUAUUAUAAAAACUAUCGUAAACCAUAAAAACCACUCGUGGUCUCGUUAAUAUCGUACGUUCAUUAAAAUGUUAAGCUUGAACUAAACCAAAUAAUAUAAUAUAACGCGGUUGAAAUUGGAAACCAAAGAAAAUAAUAUAGUAAUUAUCAAUUGUAUAAAUACGCGAGCGUGACCAACAAAACAAGCAUAGACGAAUAUUUUCGUAUAGAGUAUG